AUUAGCGGAUGACCUGUGGCUGGGGGUGAAAGGCCAAUCAAACCGGGAGAUAGCUGGUUCUCCCCGAAAGCUAUUUAGGUAGCGCCUCGUGAACUCAUCUUCGGGGGUAGAGCACUGUUUCGGCUAGGGGGCCAUCCCGGCUUACCAACCCGAUGCAAACUACGAAUACCGAAGAAUGUUAUCACGGGAGACACACGGCGGGUGCUAACGUCCGUCGUGAAGAGGGAAACAACCCAGACCGCCAGCUAAGGUCCCAAAGUCAUGGUUAAGUGGGAAACGAUGUGGGAAGGCACAGACAGCCAGGAUGUUGGCUUAGAAGCAGCCAUCAUUUAAAGAAAGCGUAAUAGCUCACUGGUCGAGUCGGCCUGCGCGGAAGAUGUAACGGGGCUAAACCAUGCACCGAAGCUGCGGCAGCGACACUAUGUGUUGUUGGGUAGGGGAGCGUUCUGUAAGCCGUUGAAGGUGGCCUGUGAGGGUUGCUGGAGGUAUCAGAAGUGCGAAUGCUGACAUAAGUAACGAUAAAGCGGGUGAAAAGCCCGCUCGCCGGAAGACCAAGGGUUCCUGUCCAACGUUAAUCGGGGCAGGGUGAGUCGACCCCUAAGGCGAGGCCGAAAGGCGUAGUCGAUGGGAAACAGGUUAAUAUUCCUGUACUUGGUGUUACUGCGAAGGGGGGACGGAGAAGGCUAUGUUAGCCGGGCGACGGUUGUCCCGGUUUAAGCAUGUAGGCGGAGGUUCCAGGUAAAUCCGGUACCUUUUAACGCUGAGGUGUGAUGACGAGGCACUACGGUGCUGAAGUAACAAAUGCCCUGCUUCCAGGAAAAGCCUCUAAGCAUCAGGUAACACGAAAUCGUACCCCAAACCGACACAGGUGGUCAGGUAGAGAAUACCAAGGCGCUUGAGAGAACUCGGGUGAAGGAACUAGGCAAAAUGGUGCCGUAACUUCGGGAGAAGGCACGCUGAUAUGUAGGUGAAGCCCCUGCGGGUGGAGCUGAAAUCAGUCGAAGAUACCAGCUGGCUGCAACUGUUUAUUAAAAACACAGCACUGUGCAAACACGAAAGUGGACGUAUACGGUGUGACGCCUGCCCGGUGCCGGAAGGUUAAUUGAUGGGGUUAGCGGCAACGCGAAGCUCUUGAUCGAAGCCCCGGUAAACGGCGGCCGUAACUAUAACGGUCCUAAGGUAGCGAAAUUCCUUGUCGGGUAAGUUCCGACCUGCACGAAUGGCGUAAUGAUGGCCAGGCUGUCUCCACCCGAGACUCAGUGAAAUUGAACUCGCUGUGAAGAUGCAGUGUACCCGCGGCAAGACGGAAAGACCCCGUGAACCUUUACUAUAGCUUGACACUGAACACUGGUCCUUGAUGUGUAGGAUAGGUGGGAGGCUUUGAAGCGUGGACGCCAGUCUGCGUGGAGCCGCCCUUGAAAUACCACCCUUUAAUGGCUGGUGUUCUAACGUAGACCCGUGAUCCGGGUUGCGGACAGUGUCUGGUGGGUAGUUUGACUGGGGCGGUCUCCUCCCAAAGAGUAACGGAGGAGCACGAAGGUUAGCUAAUCCUGGUCGGACAUCAGGAGGUUAGUGCAAUGGCAUAAGCUAGCUUGACUGCGAGAGUGACGGCUCGAGCAGGUGCGAAAGCAGGUCAUAGUGAUCCGGUGGUUCUGAAUGGAAGGGCCAUCGCUCAACGGAUAAAAGGUACUCCGGGGAUAACAGGCUGAUACCGCCCAAGAGUUCAUAUCGACGGCGGUGUUUGGCACCUCGAUGUCGGCUCAUCACAUCCUGGGGCUGAAGUAGGUCCCAAGGGUAUGGCUGUUCGCCAUUUAAAGUGGUACGCGAGCUGGGUUUAGAACGUCGUGAGACAGUUCGGUCCCUAUCUGCCGUGGGCGCUGGAGAAUUGAGGGGGGCUGCUCCUAGUACGAGAGGACCGGAGUGGACGCAUCACUGGUGUUCGGGUUGUCAUGCCAAUGGCACUGCCCGGUAGCUAAAUGCGGAAGAGAUAAGUGCUGAAAGCAUCUAAGCACGAAACUUGCCCCGAGAUGAGUUCUCCCUGAGACUUUAAGUCUCCUGAAGGAACGUUGAAGACGACGACGUUGAUAGGUCGGGUGUGUAAGCGCAGCGAUGCGUUGAGCUAACCGAUACUAAUGAACCGUGAGGCUUAACCUU
rnacentral:rRNA from 1 species